AGGAAAACCUGCAAAAUCGGCAGUGUAUUAAAUACUUGUUCUCCCCACUGUAUACGUUACACACAAUUACUAAAUUACUACAAUUCCUUAGCAAUGACACUCCAUCCAUUAAAUCUAUUCAAAGUAUUAGUAUCACGCUCCCCUCUUCGUUUGUUUGGUGUAUUCUGGCUAUGUAUGGAAAGUGCAGAUGAACUAAUAAUUCCUUCUUUAAGCCACUAGAGGGUGAGCUAGGUUAAGGUGAACUGAAUGUUUUUUUUAUAGUAAGGUAGCAUUAUACUGUAAUCCAUUUCCCCUUACUAAAAUGUAAAUGAACUUUUUCAGUUCACAUGAAGCUGUUCUCUGAAUCUCCAUAUGCUCUCUGUGUGAUCGUACCACCUUGUGAGGAGGAGUCAAUGCAAAACUCUGACCUUUUCCAUCACUACUCACUGCAGAGUGAAGGAGAGGGACUGAAGCUCUGACUAGACUGAAGAGUAGGGACACACCAUAGCUUCUGACUGUUCAUGAUGAAAUAUUCUAUUGAUUUAUAGGCUUGACAGGUGUUCAUGGUCAGACACUGACUCAGUCUGACUCAGUCUAUAAGCUGAAGCUUAUAAAACCUGGAGAAUCACACAAACUGACCUGCACAUAUGCUGGAUUUGGUGGCAACAAUUUGAAUUCUUGGAUCAGAAAUGCUCCUGGGAAAGGACUGGAGUAGGUUGCAGAUAUUACCAGCAGUGAUGAUGGCAGCACUUACUACUCCCAGUCAGUUCACCAUCUCCAGAGACAACAGCAAGCAGCAGAUGUAUCUCCAGAUGAACAUUCAGAACACUGAAGACUCCGCUGUUUAUUAUUGUGCUCAAGAGACACAGUGACACAGGAGGCAGCAGCACUGUACUAAAACACACUGAUCUUAGUAUGAAAGUCUCUAGCGGGACACAGAUUAGGCUUAAUUAGGCUUCAUCUGUGUCUGGGAAUCUGGCCCUUGGAUUAUAUGUUCCACUCAUGGCAUCAACAACACACAUUGGUUAAUAUUUACCAUGUUAUACACAGGUUAUAAUCCAAAUAUAAAUAUUUAAUGGGCCGAGUAUAGAUCCUUGAGAGACACAAACAUUUAGAGUACUAUAUUCUGUAACAUUUCAAAAAACAUUGACGACAAUAAUAAUUGUGUUGAUAGUAAUAACAUAAUUGAAACCAAGAGAGAGUACAAAGUUCACUCAAAUUUCAGUCAGUGAUACAGGUUGAUGCAGUUUAUAACAAUCAUACACAAUCUGUUUUUUUCUUCAUGUUCCUCAUAUACCAACCCCCUUCACCUCUAUGCAAAGAAGCUAUUUUCUGUAUAUGAGGAGGAGUAUCUAGAAGUCCUUCACUCAGUUGGAGUAGAGAAGAGCAUCUUCCACCAGUUCAGGUCAACACAAACCAUGUUCCUUGCAUCUCUGCUGCUAUUGGAAGCUGCAUCGUGUGUGCACUGUGGUUUUGAGCUCAUCCAGCAAGGGCCAAUGGCCAUAGAACCUCCUGCAAGGUCUCUGAGUACUCUUUGACUAAUGAUAACUACACAACUGCUUGGAUCCGACGGCCUGCAGGGAACAGACCGGAAUGGUUGACUCAUAUUUGGGGUGGGGUAACGAUUAGAUUCAAAGAUUCACUGAAAAAC